GACGAACGCUGGCGGCGUGCUUAACACAUGCAAGUCGAGCGAGGCCCACCUUUCGGGGUGGUGUCCUAGCGGCGAACGGGUGAGUAACACGUGGGCAACCUGCCCCCGGCUCGGGGAUAACCCCAAGAAAUUGGGGCUAAUACCGGAUACGACCGCUGACCGCAUGGUCUGGUGGUGGAAAGAUUUAUCGGCUGGGGAUGGGCCCGCGGCCUAUCAGCUUGUUGGUGGGGUAGUGGCCUACCAAGGCGACGACGGGUAGCCGGCCUGAGAGGGUGACCGGCCACACUGGGACUGAAACACGGCCCAGACUCCUACGGGAGGCAGCAGUGGGGAAUAUUGCGCAAUGGGCGAAAGCCUGACGCAGCGACGCCGCGUGGGGGAUGACGGCCUUCGGGUUGUAAACCUCUUUCAGCAGGGACGAAGCCCGCAAGGGUGACGGUACCUGCAGAGGAAGCACCGGCCAACUACGUGCCAGCCGCCGCAGUAA
rnacentral:rRNA from 1 species